UACAGAGGUCCCAAGCGUUGUUCGGAUUCACUGGGCGUAAAGGGUGCGUAGGCGGUCGGGUAAGUCUGAUGUGAAAUCUCACAGCUUAACUGUGAAACUGCAUUGGAUACUAUUCGGCUUGAGAGUUGGAGGGGGGACUGGAAUUCUCGGUGUAGCAGUGAAAUCCGUAGAUAUUAGGAGGAACACCGGUGGCGAAGGCGGCUACCUGGACCGAUACUGACGCUGAGGAGCGAAAGCGUGGGGAGCGAACAGG
rnacentral:rRNA from 1 species